CCUACGGGUGGCAGCAGUGGGGGAUAUUGCACAAUGGGGGAAACCCUGAAGCAGCAACGCCGCGUGGAGGAUGAAGGUUUUCGGAUUGUAAACUCCUUUUGUUAGAGAAGAUAAUGACGGUAUCUAACGAAUAAGCACCGGCUAACUCCGUGCCAGCAGCCGCGGUAAUACGGAGGGUGCAAGCGUUACUCGGAAUCACUGGGCGUAAAGAGGGCGUAGGCGGGGGAGUAAGUCAGAGGUGAAAUCCUGUGGCUUAACCAUAGAACUGCAUUUGAAACUGUUAGUCUGGAGUGCGGGAGAGGUAGGUGGAAUUCUUGGUGUAGGGGUAAAAUGCGUAGAGAUCAAGAGGAAUACUCAUGGCGAAGGCGACCUGCUGGAACAUAACUGACGCUGAUGCACGAAAGCGUGGGGAGCAAACAGGAUUAGAUACCCUAGUAGUC
rnacentral:rRNA from 1 species